GUCCUCAUAUCGCUUUUUUGUGUUGAAAUAAUCAUUUCAUACUGAAAUUGACAAAUAUAAAUGGUAUUUAUUUAUAUUGUUGACGAAAAUUUAUGGUGUUAUAGGCAUAAAAAUCUCUGAUUCCUAGGCGAAGUAAAAUCAGCCUUGAGCACAUGUUUGGUUGUUUGUUACAUACAUAAUAGCCAAGUAUUCAUACUUAUAUCUUACUAGUUUGGUUCUUAUUAUAAUUUGAAGUG